rnacentral:tRNA from 1 species
GUCUCAGUAGCGCAGUGGUUAACGCACGGCCCCGGUUAGGUGCGAGACGCGGGUUCGAAUCUCGUCUGAGAUG